rnacentral:lncRNA from 1 species
AUUGCUCGGAUGAUCCAGAUGACAUUGACCAUGCAGUUCUGAUAGUUGGCUAUGGCUCUGAAGAUAGUGAAGACUACUGGAUUUGUAAGAAUUCAUGGGGAACAAGCUGGGGAAUGGAGGGGUACUUCUACAUAAAGAGGAACACUGAUUUACCAUAUGGAGAAUGCGCCAUCAAUGCCAUGGCUUCCUAUCCGACCAAAGAGUCUUCUUCACCAUCUCCUUAUCCAUCCCCAGCUGUUCCACCACCGCCGCCGCCCCCACCAUCCCCGCCACCGCCUCCCCCUCCCUCCCCACCACCUCCCUCUCCUGGCCCUUCCCCUAGUGAGUGCGGUGACUUUUCCUAUUGCCCGAGCGAUGAGACUUGCUGUUGCAUAUAUGAGUUCUAUGAUUUUUGCCUGAUCUACGGCUGCUGUGAAUACGAGAACGCCGUUUGCUGCACUGGAACAGAGUACUGCUGCCCCAGUGACUACCCCAUUUGCGAUGUGGAAGAAGGCCUAUGUCUCAAGGUAUAUAUGACUAUCCCAUCAGUGUUUCUGCUUUUGUUCUUGGGAACGUUAUAAUUCACCUUAUCUGUUUGUAUGUUUUUUGUAUUACAGAACCAGGGAGACUACCUAGGAGUAGCAGCAAAGAAGAGAAAGAUGGCGAAGCACAAGUUCCCCUGGACUAAAAUAGAAGAAACACAGAAGACAUACCAACCUCUGGAGUGGAAGAGGAACAGGUUUGCUGCGAUGCGUUGAGAAGGGGAAAGAUGAAUGAGACUUAUGAGUUUGAAUUUUAAAGAUUGUCAGUCAUUUGUCCUAUUUCUUCCUCCCCAGGGGGAGCGACCAUUACAUUGUCCUGUUUUGAAUGUAUGGUCUGAUGCACAUUGGACAUAUGUAGUAAGCAUAAUCAACAGCAGAAGAUGGGAAAAUUUGAUUUCUUUUCUACGGGU